AGAUACAAUCAACAGAGCAUUGUGUAAUUUUAAAGUGUAAACGUAUUAAGCUAAGCAGGGUCGGGCCUGGUUAGUACUUGAAUGGGAGACCACCUAGGAAGACCAGGUGCUGUAACUA
rnacentral:rRNA from 1 species